GUGCCAGCAGCCGCGGUAAUACGAAGGGGGCUAGCGUUGUUCGGAAUCACUGGGCGUAAAGGGCGCGUAGGCGGCCCGUCAAGUCAGGCGUGAAAGCCCCGGGCUCAACCCGGGAUGUGCGCUUGGGACUGGCGGGCUCGAGGCCGGGAGAGGGUGGCGGAAUUCCCAGUGUAGAGGUGAAAUUCGUAGAUAUUGGGAAGAACACCGGUGGCGAAGGCGGCCACCUGGACCGGAUCUGACGCUGAGGCGCGAAAGCGUGGGGAGCAAACAGGAUUAGAUACCCUAGUAGUCC
rnacentral:rRNA from 1 species